rnacentral:rRNA from 1 species
UACGGGGGGAGCAAGCGUUGUUCGGAUUUACGGGGCGUAAAGGGCGCGUAGGCGGUCGUGACAGGUCACUGGGGAAAUCUCCGGGCUUAACUCGGAACGGUCAAGUGAUACUGUCGGACUAGAGUACAGAAGGGGCAACUGGAAUUCUCGGUGUAGCGGUGAAAUGCGUAGAUAUCGAGAGGAACACCUGCGGCGAAGGCGGGUUGCUGGGCUGAUACUGACGCUGAGGCGCGAAAGCCAGGGGAGCGAACGGG